UAUAUGUAACAGAAUUCAGGGUCAAUCUGUGCCAAGUGGCUUAACUCUGCAUGCUUUGGCUUUGUUACUAUUGCAACAGUCCAGAUACUUAUUGAUCAGACC